CAAAGGGAUCAGGUUUCCAGGCCGCCUUGAAAACCAAGAAGGCAGCUUCAAAACCGAGGCUGGUUUUCAAGGCGGCCCGAAAACCACUUCCGGUUUCCAAGUCGUCU
rnacentral:sRNA from 1 species